rnacentral:rRNA from 1 species
AUUGAACGCUGGCGGAAUGCUUUACACAUGCAAGUCGAACGGCAGCACGGGAGCUUGCUCCUGGUGGCGAGUGGCGAACGGGUGAGUAACAUAUCGGAACGUAUCCAAUAAUGGGGGAUAACUAAGCGAAAGCUUGGCUAAUACCGCAUACGCCCUGAGGGGGAAAGCUAGGGAUCUUCGGGCCUGGCGUUCAUGGAGCGGCCGAUAUCUGAUUAGCUAGUUGGUGAGGUAAAGGCUCACCAAGGCGACGAUCAGUAGCUGGUCUGAGAGGGCGACCAGCCACACUGGAACUGAGACACGGUCCAGACUCCUACGGGAGGCAGCAGUGGGGAAUUUUGGACAAUGGGCGCAAGCCUGAUCCAGCCAUUCCGCGUGAGUGAAGAAGGCCUUCGGGUUGUAAAGCUCUUUCGCAAGGGAAGAAAGAUUACGCUCUAACAUAGCGUGAUUAUGACGGUACCUUGAUAAGAAGCACCGGCUAACUACGUGCCAGCAGCCGCGGUAACAC